GUGUGUGUAGCUCAGUGGCAGAGCAUGUGUUUAGCAAGAGUGAGGCCUGGGCUCAAUCCCCAGCAUGCCCG
rfam:Ictidomys tridecemlineatus contig090792, whole genome shotgun sequence.